ACGGAAACGUGGUGAGGCCAAGGCCGAGUCGGAAGAGAAGGCUCGGACUCCCGAUCCAGGUUUCCCAGCACGGGACACGGAACCCACGCGGAGCCCAUGCCGCGGAAUAGGCAGACCCGUUGCGGGCCUGCGUAUUUGCGAAGAGCGGGCGGGUGGAUGCCCUUUGGGUUGGGGCUACAGCCGCAGCGCAUCGCAAGACGCCGAGGCCAACCCACGCAACCGAGUAGAGCACGCUUGGUAACCGGAGUCCCGUGCUAGCGGGCGGCGCGCCGAACCCCAGGUUCGGAUCGCCGCCCGCUUCGCAUG
rnacentral:ncRNA from 1 species